rnacentral:tRNA from 4 species
GCGCCCGUAGCUCAGAUGGAUAGAGUAUAGCCCUCCGAAGGCUGGGGUCGCACGUUCGAAUCGUGUCGGGCGCACCA